rfam:Brevibacillus borstelensis AK1 seq_num_006, whole genome shotgun sequence.
GGUACCUUUAAAUCAGUCCCGUGAGGCUGACAAGGUAAGUCGGAAAUCCGCUGAUGGCAGGCUGGGAAUCUUUGUGUCCCUUUCUGUCGUUGUGGGUGAAAGAGGCCUCUUGUCAGGAAAUACGGCAGGAGGCCUCUUUUU